CCGCAGUCCCAGCAUCAGAUGGUGUUGGCUGGAAUGGAGACAAGGUUGAACAGUAUCGGACUCAAUUGGAUUCAACAUGUGGACCUUAUGUUGGUCUCCUCGAGAGCACAUGAGGUAGCUACCGAGCAGAUGCAAAAAAUACAGAGGAUUUUUACUCUGCACUGUUGAUUCUGAGGAUUCAAGUCUGAAUUGAAAAGGGGCUGAAGUUUCAGGAAGUUUCAUCGUAUUCAAGUCCAAAUUAAAUUGAGGUAGAUUGCAGAAAGUUCUUCAAAGGCAAUUAUCUGGUAUGGGCCUUUUUCUGAUUGCAAAGAACAAGGCCACAUUCCUUCAAGUCUAUUUGUCUUUCUCAAAGGCCCAGAGGCAACCCUUCUACUUUCUAAAUAUUAUGAUGAUGAAACUUUUCAUUAUGUGAUGAACUGAAGCUCAGAAUAAAGCAUGCCAACUUGUUUGAAAACAGUUUUAAUAACUCAAAUUGCAGACCACCUCUUCAAAAUAAAAUUAGACAUGACACACCUACA